rnacentral:rRNA from 1 species
UACGGAGGGGGCUAGCGUUGUUCGGAAUUACUGGGCGUAAAGCGCACGUAGGCGGCUUUGUAAGUUAGAGGUGAAAGCCCGGGGCUCAACUCCGGAAUUGCCUUUAAGACUGCAUCGCUAGAAUUGUGGAGAGGUAAGUGGAAUUCCGAGUGUAGAGGUGAAAUGCGUAGAUAUCCGGAGGAAUACCAAAGGCGAAGGCAGUGUCCUGGGGAGUGUCUGACGCUCAGGCGCGAAAGCUAGGGGAGCGAACAGG